CCUACGGGACGCAGCAGUGGGGAAUAUUGGGCAAUGGGCGCAAGCCUGACCCAGCAAUGCCGCGUGAAGGAAGAAGGCCCUCGGGUUGUAAACUUCUUUUAUCAGGGACGAAGGAUGUGACGGUACCUGAUGAAUAAGCUCCGGCUAACUACGUGCCAGCAGCCGCGGUAAUACGUAGGGAGCAAGCGUUAUCCGGAUUUACUGGGCGUAAAGGGCGCGUAGGUGGGCGCUUAAGUCAGGUGUGAAAACUCCGGGCUCAACCUGGAGACUGCACUUGAAACUGGGUGUCUUGAGGGCAGGAGAGG
rnacentral:rRNA from 1 species